AUUGAACGCUGGCGGCAUGCCUAACACAUGCAAGUCGAACGGCAGCACAUUCUAGCUUGCUAGAAGGGUGGCGAGUGGCGAACGGGUGAGUAACGCGUAGGAAUAUACCUUAAAGUGGGGACAACUUAGGGAAACUCAAGCUAAUACCGCAUAAUCGCUGCGGAGAGAAGCUGGGGACCGCAAGGCGUGGGGCGUUAAGUCUAGGCUGUGUCCGAUGAGCGAGGUGGUAGGGUAAAGGCCUACCAAGGCGACGAUCGGUAGCUGGUCUGUGCGGGUGGCCAGCCACACUGGGACUGAGACACGGCCCAGAGUCCUCCGGGUGGCAGCUGUGGGGAAUAUUGGACGAUGGGGGGAGCCCUAAUCCUGCAAUGCCGCGUGUGUGAAGAAGGCCUGAGGGUUGUAAAGCACUUUCAGUGGGGAGGAGGAUUGGCAGGUUAAGAGCUGGUCAAUUGGACGUUACCCACAGAAGAAGCACCGGCUAACUCCGUGCCAGCCGCCGCAGUAA
rnacentral:rRNA from 1 species